GAAAGAGCACACCUCUGGGACAAUGCGUAUGGCGUCUCCAAGCCUGUUACUGGGACCCGUAGGAUUCAUUCGCACUGUCACCGCUGUUUCUUUGCUUAUCAGACCUCAACCUUUCAGGCAGUUAAAUCCUUGAAACAAACCAGGAAGAGGAAUAGAAUCACGAGCUGAAAAUGGAGUUUUGAAAUAGGCAGUGCUGGUUGAAGGAUUGGAGCAAGGUUGGACGAACAGUUAAGAUAAUGGCUGGACGAUCCAGCUGAAUAAUCCUUUAGAUAACGAUUGCUGUCUUGGAACAUUUUAUGAGCCAGUAUUGUGCCCGAGAAAUGCAUAAUUCUUCUGAGAAGGCAUAAAAGUAGCAUUAUGAAACAGCCCCCGUAGCCCUUCUGCCCUACGCAACACUGAUGAACCUCACCUGAAGUCCUAGGUCAAGACUGGGACAUCCCACUUGAAAAGACAUGGGAACCCAUUUAAGAAAAUUCACGCACAAGCACCAAUUAUAAUCAAAAUUCCAGAAAAUGUACUCAAGGGCAAACAGGAAAUACAAUUAAGUCUGGACUGUAGACAAGUGAGGGGAUGGCACAGGGUAUUAAAAUGCUGACAGAAAGAGGAAGAUAAUAAACUCUUCUCCACAUUUAACGUGAAAAUGAAACAAACAAAAAAAAGAGCAACACCAACCAAUGGGCAUAAAUUGAAGCAGACACUUGGCUUAUGUACUAAAACGAAGUCUUCUACUGGAAGCUGAGAACAGACUAGAGGAACAGCCAGGAAUGGUUUAUCUAAAGCUAAAUAAGGAGCAGUUAGCUUCCUGUAGCGCUUUCUCAGUCACUUUUUCUUUGCUUAUGACUCAAUAAGAGGAACAUUUCAAAUGAGGUUACUCAUUUGGGCUUGGAACAUAAGGUAUACAAAGAGUUGCUUCCUUGAGCAGAAGAGGACUAACACAGAAAGAAGAAAAUAGGACAACAGCACAAAGGUGGAGAAACGGGAGUUUCUAUUUGCAUUACAAAGAAGAUCCUCUCUGUCAUGAAAAUGAAUCAAUGCCUUGAACCAGUAAAUUAUCUACUAAGCUACUUAUUCAUAUUAUUUGAUACAUUUAUUACCCCCAAAGCAUUUACAGUAACUACUCUGGAAUAGUGAAAGCACACUCAUACGCAGACACCACUGCCAUCCAUUCUGGACCCUAUAUGAGUCAACAGUGGCAACGGCGAGUAACGUGCCCUUCCUCCCCAGAAAAAGCAGGCCAGAAACCAAAGUCGUUUUCUUCUUCUACGAUUCCUGAGCCAAGGUAGAAGACAGAAGCAGCUCUUUGCUUUGUGUGUUUCACAGCCACAGAUUUCAAAAUGACAAUUGAUUUUCUAGAAAGAGGAGUCAUAAAACUUUUGAAGUUCAGAUAGAUUAAAUCUGCUGCAUUUCUUUGAAAAAUCAGUUGGCAUACUUACAGCCAUUUGGUUAUUCAGACAAUUUAUCUUUGGUUCAUUUUGUACCCUUUUUUCUUUGUUUCUUUAACUACAUAUCCUUGGACCACAGCAAUUAUAACAACCCUCUAACUGCUCUCAUUAUCUCUUCCUUUAAGAUCUACUUUAAAUUCUUGCAUUUUGUUGAGGUCAGACAAAUGACAGCAUAGCUGUCCAGAUCACUAUUUUACAGUGCCACACAAAGGUGGACGUGAUACGGAUUAGAAAUCAAAGAGAAAAUAAACAAGAUGAAAUGCACUGAGGAGAGCUCAAAAGGGAAUAUCAGGCUACAAUUGAAAACCUUAAGUUUUGUAUUUGCAAGACCAUAAAUUUUCAUUUGUGGUCCUGAAACAAAAAGUAGGAAUGUUCUAAGAGGAUUUGCAGACAAUGAGCAGGUAAGAGGUAUUGCCAGUCUUCGAGAGAAUUAAUAUAUCAUGCUGUAAAACUCUGAAAUAGAAAAGGAAUGAAGUUCAAAUAUACACUGUGCAAGAUCAACUUCUGGGCAAAACGCCCAAACUUUUUACAAGUUGGGAACUCAAUCUGAAAUGCCUAAGGAUGAGAAUGACUUAGAAAAUCAAAAAUUACCAAGAAACACAGAGGUAGCUGUAAAAACAGAAAAGGUAGUAUCCCUUCAGAAUUGCACGUCCUUCGUUACUUUUACAGCACUGGUAGCAAUCUACAGUAAAGAAGACACCUUCCAGUGGCACUGGAAACAUUAGUAUGACUGGAGCACUGACAAAAUUUCACCUAGAAUAUAGCUUUACAAAUAGAUAAACUGAAUUGAAACAAGUAUAAAUGCCUGCUUAGAUGGAGAGAGGAAUUGAAAGUUUGUUUUGAAGCAGAACCUAAAAAAGACUGACUUGAUUAGUCAAUUAAAAAAAAAGAAAAAAAAAAAAAAGAAGAGGAGGCUGAGAGUUACCAUCAUUACUUGCCUAAAUAUAUUUCUAUCAGUACAAAUGCAGAUAGGUACAAUUGUGAAUAAAAUGCAACAAGAAAUAAGAAGUUUUAAUGUUUGAUAUAGUCAGAUGACGACACAGCCUUCCAGCAGAGAGUGGUAUGGGAGUCCCUGAGAACAGAUUGCUUUUAAAAAGAAGAAAAAUGGAAAUCUAAUUAAAAGGUAUAGCAAUCAGCAGGACAGAAGUAAACGCGGGGCAGAUUUAGCAUGACAAUCUUCUAUCUACAAGAGAAAUUGGUAGCUGUGGUAGGAUGACCAUAUCACCCACGCUGGAAGCAAAAUACACGGUACAGAAAGGAAGCCAGCAGCACAGGCAAGAGAAGAUAAAAUUAGUCCAAAUAUGUUACAUCUAUCUAGUGGCUUUUCAGGUUUACAUGAAGAAAGAAUGCGUUGGUAACUCCUUGCAACUUAAGCAUGCUUCCCCUGUGUAAAAAUAAUCAAAGUUAGGCCAUUCAGAUAUUAGUUUCACCGAAAUAACUGUCAAGACAUUGCAACUUGAAGACACAAGACCUACCUACAGCACUACAAUGAAAUAAAUUUUAAUUUGCACUUAAAUAUAAAGAGUUUGACUGCUAAAACUAAUUCAUUGUGCUUCCUCCUUUGCCUCCAUAAAAACUUAACACACUAUAGAGGAAAGGUAGUGAGAUAAUGAAACUGCGUAACAACUCAAUAAGACUGUUUCAAAACAGCUGGCAAUCAAACAUGUAAGACAGUGUUCUCCUGUUCACAACCUCUAAAAGAGAUGAACGCUGCUAUGUUCAUCAAAGCUGCUGAGGAAAAAGAGGGAUGCGGAAAACAAUGAAAAAAACCAUGGAAAUACAUUGCAAACAUUUCUGAGCAAACUACACACGAAGGAAUGUUUCUCCAGAUGACAUGCACUUGCUAAUGCAAGCCAUUAAGAGACUGAGAGGAGAGCAGUUUUGAGUGACCCUAAACAAAAGCAUUCACUAGGCAGCACGCCGAUAGAUGCAAGUAUAAACUGUAUGUCAGAAACUCCCCGUGUAUCUCAAAAUAUAAGCUAGCAUAAUGCUUGCAUGAUCUGCUAUCAGCUCCAUCCCGUAGCUUUUCCAGCAUUUUAUGUAGUAGAAAAUUACAAUGCUGAUAACUGUAUUUUUAUGGCACUACAUACCACUUUCGUUCUUAGCAAAGAGUCAACCUGUAAUAACAAACUGCAUUUGAUUUUAUUUUCAGAAUCCUGCUUGUCCAACACAAUUUACAAGCUUCCCUGUUCUUGGGGAUCCUCUGCCCCAUAUAGUAAUGCAGAUACAUGAUCGAGUCUGGUAAAGUGAUAGAUUGCACUGACAUAGAAAAAUAAUAUUUCUUCAAAAGCUUAGACAUUGAAAUUUCUAACUCAAGUACCAUAAAUUGAUAUUAUGGAAAAAAAUAGCAUUUAAGGAAAAAUGUUUGCCAGUUCAAAUUACUGUUUAUUAUGGCUCAUGCCUAAAUCUGAAUUUGGGAAAAUUAAAUACGUUGAGCACAUUUAAAUGCUGUUCUCUGUAGGGUGAACGGUGCUGUUUACAGUAAGAAUCCAAAACUAAAUGACUUGGUACAAAUCAGAUCGACACAGUAGCAUUAGUGGAGGAACAUCAAUUUAAACAAGCAAAGAAAUGAGACGUUUACACAAACUUUUUCAAGGAUAUUUCCAAAGUGAAGGUUUGUGAAACAGAUAGUGGUCAUACAUACUAUGCAUGUUUUUGUAAGAUUAGUUUUGACCUUGUUUUGUUGAGAGAGCAAAUGUAAAACCAUUAACAUCUUUAGCUACUGUUUUCAUGGUGGAGGUCAAUUAUUUUUGUAAAACGGGAUUUCAUGUUACAUGUAUUUAAAGGUGUCAUGCAAGAAUGCAUUUACCUAGAGAAACAUUCUUACUGGAAUUCUAGUAAAUUCAAAUAAUUGAGCCUUAGGGUAAUAUUAACUUUAAUAAAUAUGAACAUAUUGACUGAACACA